rnacentral:rRNA from 1 species
GAUGAACGCUGGCGGCGUGCCUAACACAUGCAAGUCGAACGGAGAUUAUUCGCUGCGGAGCCUUCGGGCGAAGCUUGAAUGAUCUUAGUGGCGGACGGGUGAGUAACGCGUGGGCAACCUGCCUUGCACAGGGGGAUAGCAGUUGGAAACGACUGGUAAUACCGCAUAUCUUAGAGAGACCGCAUGAUCUUUUUAAGAAAACGUUAGUGGUGCAAGAUGGGCCCGCGUCCGAUUAGAUAGUUGGUGGGGUAACGGCCUACCAAGUCGACGAUCGGUAGCCGACCUAAGAGGGCGGACGGCCACAUUGGGACUGAGACACGGCCCAGACUCCUACGGGAGGCAGCAGUGGGGAAUAUUGCACAAUGGAGGGAACUCUGAUGCAGCGACGCCGCGUGAGUGAAGAAGUAUUUCGGUAUGUAAAGCUCUAUCAGUAGGGAAGAUAAUGACG